CAGAAAUGCCCAUUGGAGAAUUGCAUGGUUUCUUCAGAUCAGUGUUUGCCUGUUUGAAGGGUUUGGACUAGGAAGUAUUCAGGGGACUUCCAUGCCUGCACACCCCCACCUCCAAGAACUGGGGGGUCAGAGGAUACUUGAAGAGUGUCACGUUUUAAAUUUGAACAAUGAAGGUUGAGAAUCUAGACUAGUAGCUCUAGAAAGUUCUUCCUGCCCUGUGGACCUGGUGCAGCAGAG
rnacentral:lncRNA from 1 species